rnacentral:ncRNA from 3 species
CACUUAUCCAGAGCGGUGGAGGGAACUGGCCCGAUGAAACCCGGCAACCUACGUAUUGUAAGGUGCUAACUCCAGCAAAAUGGGACUCAUUUUGGAAGAUAAGGU